rnacentral:rRNA from 1 species
UACGGAGGAUGCAAGCGUUAUCCGGAUUUAUUGGGUUUAAAGGGUGCGCAGGUUGUUUGAUAAGUCAGUGGUGAAAGUCUGUCGCUUAACAGUAGGAUUGCCAUUGAUACUGUUGGACUUGAAUAUGGAUGAGGUAGGCGGAAUGUGUAGUGUAGCGGUGAAAUGCAUAGAUAUUACACAGAACACCGAUUGCGAAGGCAGCUUACUAAUCCAUCAUUGACGCUGAGGCACGAAAGCGUGGGGAUCAAA